rnacentral:rRNA from 1 species
GAUGAACGCUGGCGGCGUGCCUAAUACAUGCAAGUCGAGCGAACAGACGAGGGGCUUGCUCCUUCGACGUUAGCGGCGGACGGGUGAGUAACACGUAGGUAACCUACCUAUAAGACUGGGAUAACUUCGGGAAACCGGAGCUAAUACCGGAUAAUAUUUCGAACCGCAUGGUUCGAUGGUGAAAGAUGGCUUUGCUAUCACUUAUAGAUGGACCUGCGCCGUAUUAGCUAGUUGGUAAGGUAACGGCUUACCAAGGCAACGAUACGUAGCCGACCUGAGAGGGUGAUCGGCCACACUGGAACUGAGACACGGUCCAGACUCCUACGGGAGGCAGCAGUAGGGAAUCUUCCGCAAUGGGCGAAAGCCUGACGGAGCAACGCCGCGUGAGUGAUGAAGGUCUUCGGAUCGUAAAACUCUGUUAUUAGGGAAGAACAAACGUGUAAGUAACUGUGCACGUCUUGACGGUACCUAAUCAGAAAGCCACGGCUAACUACGUG